UUACCUUCUAAUGUGUUGGGGUGAUC
rnacentral:piRNA from 1 species